rnacentral:rRNA from 1 species
AUUGAACGCUGGCGGCAGGCUUAACACAUGCAAGUCGAGCGGGGGAGGUUGCUUCGGUAACUGACCUAGCGGCGGACGGGUGAGUAAUGCUUAGGAAUCUACCUAUUAGUGGGGGACAACAUUCCGAAAGGAAUGCUAAUACCGCAUACGCCCUACGGGGGAAAGCAGGGGAUCUUCGGACCUUGCGCUAAUAGAUGAGCCUAAGUCGGAUUAGGUAGUUGGUGGGGUAAAGGCCUACCAAGGCGACGAUCUGUAGCGGGUCUGAGAGGAUGAUCCGCCACACUGGGACUGAGACACGGCCCAGACUCCUACGGGAGGCAGCAGUGGGGAAUAUUGGACAAUGGGCGGAAGCCUGAUCCAGCCAUGCCGCGUGUGUGAAGAAGGCCUUUUGGUUGUAAAGCACUUUAAGCGAGGAGGAGGCUCUUAAGGUUAAUACCCUUGAUGAGUGGACGUUACUCGCAGAAUAAGCACCGGCUAACUCUGUGCCAGCAGCCGCGGUAAAAC